rnacentral:rRNA from 1 species
UACGUAGGGUGCGAGCGUUAAUCGGAAUUACUGGGCGUAAAGCGUGCGCAGGCGGUUUGUUAAGCCAGAUGUGAAAGCCCCGGGCUCAACCUGGGAACUGCGUUUGGUACUGGCAAGCUAGAGUACGGCAGAAGGGGGUGGAAUUCCACGUGUAGCAGUGAAAUGCGUAGAGAUGUGGAGGAACACCGAUGGCGAAGGCAGCCCCCUGGGCCGAUACUGACGCUCAGGCACGAAAGCGUGGGGAGCAAACAGGAUUAGAUACCCUGGUAGUCCACGCCCUAAACGAUGCGAACUAGUCGUUGGAGUAGCAAUACUUUAGUGACGCAGCUAACGCGUGAAGUUCGCCGCCUGGGGAGUACGGUCGCAAGAUUAAA